CUGCAGUGAUGGUUUGAAUUUCUUCACCUGAAAACCCAUGUGGAGCAAAAACUCGAGCUUUUUAAAUCUGAGCAUA